GUCUUUCUAACUUUCUGAGAGUCUCCCUAUAUUGCUGAGGCUGGCCUUGAACUUGUGACUCUCCUGCCUCAGCCUCCCAUGUUGCUGGGAUUACAGGUGUGUGCCAGCAUACCCAGCCCCUCUGUCACUUCUCUGCCUUUGUCUUCUACAGAGCAAUUUAGCCUCCUGCCCUCCCAGUAUCAGUGCUUCCUGGGGGUCAUUCCUCGAUGCCCCUCUUCCUUUAUGUUUACUCUGUGUUCUUUGCUCAGUUGGCCUUGUACCCCCUCAGGUUCAAUUCCAUGUGAUGACAUCAGCCCCACCUCUCCAGCUUGACCUCUACCCUGAACUUCAGAUUUAACAGCCAUGUGUCUGAUGGGCACUUCUCUUUUAGGUCCCAUAGGUCACCCUGGGGUUGCUGCAUUGUGUAACUCCAAGGCGCUCCAUUCACUGUCACCUCAAUUCAACAUAUCUGUGUCAGGCCAUCUGGGCUGCAUGUAGCAAAACGCCAACUCUUAAUAAGGAAAUUGGGGCGGGGGUGUAGCUCAGUGGUAGAGCACUUGUCUAGCAUGCGGGAGACCCUAG
rnacentral:lncRNA from 1 species